AGUUUGGGGUCCCAAUUUGGGGUCCCAAUUCGGGGUCCCACCGCCCCCCCCAGGCUGACGGCGGCCGAAGGGACCCGCAGGAAAGACCUGGAGCGGCUGAAAACCAGCGAGGAGAAGGGCCGGGAACUGGAGCGGCGGCUCUCGGGGCUGGAGCGGGAGCUGCGCAGGACUUGGGGACAUCCCCGCGCUGUCCCCGUGUCCCCGAGGGGCUGCGACGAGCCCGGCGACGACGCCCAGGCCACCAGCGUGUGACGCGGAAUGUCGCCGGGAUGUCGCGACAUGUCGCCGAGGCAAUAAACCGUGGCGUUGUCGCCGA